UUAAAAAAUGGGCGGGAUUAGGCAUAUGUACAUUGCCACCGGUUCAAGCCGAACCGGUGGCAUAAAUGAUAAAGGCCACCGGUUUUGAACCGGUGGCAACAAUCAAAUAAUAAAAAAAAAAAGUCCACCAUUCUCUUUUCCCUUCCUUUAUAUACCCUAACCCUAAUAUUCUCUCUCCUCUGUCGCCUCUCCUGCUCUCCUCCUUCUCUCUAUCUCCUUCUCUCCUUCGUUCUUACUCCCCAACUGAUCUCCUUCUCGUCGCCCUUCGUCCUCUCUCCUCCGUUCCCCUCCUUCGUACUCCAUCAAAUCCGCACUACACAGCCACCAUCAACCACCGAAAUCACCCAACUUCACCCGAAAAAAAUCCAUUACCCACGAAAUCACCACCACGCCACCACCACACCAGCAACAUCAACAACACCGUCAGAUCUACAUCAUCAACACCAAUUUUCGCUCUUUUUCGCAGUUUUUGGGUUUGAUAUUUCGAGGUAUUAGAUUAUGACUCCACGAAGAAUCAAGAUGUUUGUGU